CCAGACUCCUACGGGAGGCAGCAGUGGGGAAUAUUGCACAAUGGGGGAAACCCUGAUGCAGCGACGCCGCGUGAGUGAAGAAGUAAUUCGUUAUGUAAAGCUCUAUCAGCAGGGAAGAAAAUGACGGUACCUGAGUAAGAAGCCCCGGCUAACUACGUGCCAGCAGCCGCGGUAAUACGUAGGGGGCAAGCGUUAUCCGGAUUUACUGGGUGUAAAGGGAGCGUAGACGGCAGUGCAAGUCUGGAGUGAAAGGCGGGGCCCAACCCCGGGACUGCUCUGGAAACUGCGUCGCUGGAGUACGGGAGGGGCAGGCGGAAUUCCUGGUGUAGCGGUGAAAUGCGUAGAUAUUAGGAGGAACACCAGUGGCGAAGGCGGCCUGCUGGACGACAACUGACGGUGAGGCGCGAAAGCGUGGGGAGCAAACAGGAUUAGAUACCCGAGUAA
rnacentral:rRNA from 1 species